rnacentral:rRNA from 1 species
UACCAGCACCCCGAGUGGUCGGGACGAUUAUUGGGCCUAAAGCAUCCGUAGCCGGUUCUACAAGUCUUCCGUUAAAUCCACCUGCUUAACAGAUGGGCUGCGGAGGAUACUAUAGAGCUAGGAGGCGGGAGAGGCAAGCGGUACUUAGUGGGUAGGGGUAAAAUCCGUUGAUCCAUUGAAGACCACCAGUGGCGAAGGCGGCUUGCCAGAAUGCGCUCGACGGUGAGGGAUGAAAGCUGGGGGAGCAAACAGG